UAACACAAUGGUUAAGUGUUUGGCUGCUAACCAAAAGGUUGGUGAUUCAAAUCCAUC
rnacentral:tRNA from 1 species